GUGAGUCAUCGAAUCUUUGAACGCACCUUGCGCUCCUUGGUAUUCCGAGGAGCAUGCCUGUUUGAGUGUCAUUAAAUUCUCAACUAUUAUUAGCUUUUGCUACUAAUGGCUUGGAUAUGGGGGUUCUUUGCUGGCUUUGUUAAAAGGUCUGCUCCCCUUAAAUUUAUUAGCUGGUGCCCCGCGUGGACUGUCUAUUGGUGUGAUAAUUAUCUACGCCGUGGAUUUCUGCUUUAAUGGGUUGUGCUGCUUAUAACUGUCUUUUUUAUUAAGACAAUAUAUGACAAUUUGACCUCAAAUCAG
rnacentral:misc_RNA from 1 species